UACGUAGGGGGCAAGCGUUGUCCGGAUUUAUUGGGCGUAAAGAGCGUGUAGGCGGUUUGGUAGGUCCGCUGUGAAAACUCGAGGCUCAACCUCGAGACGCCGGUGGAAACCAUCAGGCUAGAGUCCGGAAGAGGAGAGUGGAAUUCCUGGUGUAGCGGUGAAAUGCGCAGAUAUCAGGAGGAACACCUGCGGUGUAGACGGCUUUCUGGACCAUUGCUGACGCUGAGACACGAAAGCGUGGGUAGCAAACAGG
rnacentral:rRNA from 1 species